rfam:Bacillus sp. MTM 116 5, whole genome shotgun sequence.
CCCGUGCUACAACCGCACAGAGCAGGUAGUAAGUUUUAUGCUUUAGCAUAAGCGCCUGUGUAUGGCGAGUCUGAGUUUAUAA